AUCUGAAUAUCAUCAUAAGUCAAUCCCUAUGCACAAGCCUCUGGCAGAGGUUUAGGGGACGUGGCGUGAUUCAGAGCUGCCUCACAUCCUGAUAGGGGUGCUAAGGCAACAAUGCUUCUGGGGCUGUGGCGACAUGGCUUCGGGGAGUGCGUAAUACACUUGGCACAACUGAAGGGCUGCGGGCGGGAAUGGCUUGGGAUGAACGGAAAAGGCAGGACAUUUGGGGCUGGAGUCCUACAAUAGACGCUCCCUGUGGGAGAAUAACCCUUGAAUAUCAUAUCCGUUGCAGGGAUAUGGGAUAGAGGGAAUUGCAGGAAGGACUCCUGUGCGGUUGAGGCUUUGCGAAAGCGGGUCUAUAAAGCCUGAUGUCCGUAUGCUGGCACAAAUCCGUGCAAAGAAUUUAUUUAAUUGGAUUAUAAUAAUAAUUUCUGAAUGCUGUGCUGGCAUUCUGGGUGAAGUUCCCAGACACGCUUGGUCGAAAGAUUCUGCAAGAAGUAUGGCGGGUAGCUCCCCCAUGCUCAGACUUGCGGACGUGGUGGCUGAAAAUGAUUCCGAUUCUGGGCUGGUCUUACGGCGAAGGUCGUGGCUUGUGGUGAUGUUCAG
rnacentral:ncRNA from 1 species